GUGAGGAAUAUUGGUCAAUGGGCGAGAGCCUGAACCAGCCAAGUCGCGUGAAGGAAGAAGGAUCUAUGGUUCGUAAACUUCUUUUGCAGGGGAAUAAAGUGCGGGACGUGUCCUGUUUUGUAUGUACCCUGAGAAUAAGGAUCGGCUAACUCCGUGCCAGCAGCCGCGGUAAUACGGAGGAUCCGAGCGUUAUCCGGAUUUAUUGGGUUUAAAGGGUGCGUAGGUGGUUUGAUAAGUCAGCGGUGAAAGUUUGCAGCUUAACUGUAAAAAUGCCGUUGAAACUGUCGGACUUGAGUGUAAAUGAGGUAGGCGGAAUGCGUGGUGUAGCGGUGAAAUGCAUAGAUAUCACGCAGAACUCCGAUUGCGAAGGCAGCUUACUAAGCUACAACUGACACUGAAGCACGAAAGCGUGGGGAUCCAACAGGAUUAGAAACCCGUGUAGUCC
rnacentral:rRNA from 1 species